CCACACCAUUCUGUUGUUGGGGUAAGUCCACACCAUUCUGUUGUUGGGGUAAGUCCACACCAUUCACACCAUUCUGUUGUUGGGGUAAGUCCACACCAUUCUGUUGUUGGGGUAAGUCCACACCAUUCUGUUGUUGGGGUAAGUCCACACCAUUCUGUUGUUGGGGUAAGUCCACACCAUUCUGUUGUUGGGGUAAGUCCACACCAUUCUGUUGUUGGGGUAAGUCCACACCAUUCUGUUUUUUUUACAUACUUUAAUUUUUAAAACUAGGAAAACUAUUUCACUCAUAUUGUCAUUAAUUAUAGGUCAUAUUUCAUUGAAAUGUGGAAACACUGGACAGUUACUCUAAAGGGACAGACUUAUUAUGCCAGGUUAUUACAUAUGUACUGUACCAUCAUGUGUCGGUGCUACGUACUUCCUAUAGUUCAAUAAGAAUCAAAUAACGUCAUUUUCCUGUGAGGCAAACUUCUUAUAUAAUAUUUACUGCACAUACAACAAUGGCACAGGAUGAACAAAUCAUUAAAAUAACAGUACAGUCAACAAAGAUGAGGAACUGCAUUAUAUUGAUUUAAGAUGACAUUGAAUAAGGGAACAUCAGUAUUGGAUGUUUAGAAACAGAAGACAAAAGGGAAUGGUUAAGGGGUUUUGCACUGAAUUGAUAUCUGAUGUUGUAAAGUUAUGAUAUGGGACUGUAUGUGUGUGGGUUCACUGUCGCCUUUACCGUGUCGAGCAUUUUAGAUCGUAACCUUUGAACAAAACAGAUUUAUUUUUGCUACCUUUGUGGUGUUGGUAAUGUGAGCAAUGUUUGGGCACCUCUGUGUGUAGAACGGACUGUGAGAUGUAAUGUAGGGCCCUGUUCCAAUACUUUAAAAAGCCUUUCUUAUUUCCUCACUUUCUUGAAGUAAUCGGGGAGAAAAGAUCUAUUUUGAAGUAUUGUAACGGUGUCGAAGUUAGUAUCAGCCUGCAUGGGGAAGUCUUGUACUGUAUCUCCGUCCAAAGGUCUGCUUGCUCUGCCAUUUUGGGCCAAACUCUCUGUUCCGCCAUUUUGGGGAAAUGUGCUCCUGCUGCAAUUUAGGGUCUUCCCUCAUGCUAGAUCUCCCUGGCACUUUUAAACAUAAUGUAGGCCGCUUGAAGUAGAACACCCGUCCGUGGUAAUGUUCACUUAUACUAAAAAUGUGCUAACUAUUUUAGGGGAAAAGGGUGUGACGGAUUUAUUUCUGUCAAGGUGUAACCAGUUACCAAAGGACAAAAAAAUGAAGUAUGAAAAGAAUAUUAAAUGUCAUUCGUAUCUAACAUCCAUUUGCAUCUUCUCUGGGGGUUUUAAGUAAAGUCAUAAUAGCAAUGAUUUGAUGAUGAAUAUAUAUUUUUUAAGGUUUCAUCUCUGAAAAAUGGUAUAUUUCACAGGGAAUUUAUGAAUGAACGUAAGUGUUUACGUUGCACCUUAAAAAGCAUUGUCCACACAGAACUAAGUUUGCUUUGUGUUUCAUUUGUUUUUGUGUUUUUACAAAUGCAUUCAAAUAACUUUUUUUACUUUUGAUUUUGUGCUCUUUGUACUUGUUGUCUGUGAGACACUUCUAUAAAUGAAUCUGUAUUUUGAUGGUGUCUGUUACCCGAAAGCAGAAAAACCAAUAGACAAGUGUUUCAUUUUUAUAUAUUUGAAGGGAAAAAAACUGGGUUGGGAUUGGUUAGGCCUCGGCCUAUUUAUUUUCCAAUUCAGAAGAAAUAACGUUCACAAUGUGUUGUAGCCAUUCCAGUAUUUAUUUUUCUUAUUGAGCCUCGGCGGUUCAGAAUGUAACUUUCUACAUGAAUAAACAUAAUAGGAGAAUAUUCAAAGUGAUCAGUAAUAAUGGUGCCAUAAAAUGAAACCAUGGUCAAUAGAAAAUGGAAAAUACACAAGGAUCAACGCUAAACAGUCCUGUAACGUCUGUGGACUGAUCAGGACAGCUACACAUUCAUGGUACCAAGCUAUGCAUGUUUUUUUUAAAGAACACUGCUAUGUAUUGUUUGGUUCAAAUCCUUGUUAACUGCCACCGUUUUGGGUGGGUAGAUGUCUGCAUGUGUGUGUGGCUUGCAUUUGAGUGUGUGUGUGUGUGUGCGUGCGUGCGUGCCUGUGUGUGCGCAUAUGUGUAUCUCCAGAGGAUGGUCUGUAGUAUGUACCAAGCCUUUCUCUGGGCCCCUAAAGCCGUAUGGUCAUAACUGUGGUUUCUCCUGGUAAAUGUUUGCUAAAACAGCAUCAUAGCCUUAUUUUUAACAAUCUAUUAAACUCAAUUUCAUGGGGAAUUCAUGACGGUUGAUUUAUUGAUUCA
ensembl:lncRNA